GUUUGCAGCAGUUAGGUUUCCUAUCUUCUGGGGAUUCAGAUCGCGUUGGUUUUAGACGACGCUCCCAUGUUGUCCACUUCCCGUAAUUUAGCUGCAGUUGAAGACGAUUUUUGGUUUUGUACAAGAAUGCAGUUGUUAAAAGAGUGGAUCGGUAUGAACAACAUCGAAAGUUUUUAGAGUUUUUUCAUCAAAAUCUACAGUAAAACGAGGAGAUUCAAACAGGGUUGUGUUGUUCUAGGCUGGUAGUUAUACGACGAACUGGUGGUAUGUUCGAUGCCCUUUUCAUCACUGCCGACUUUGGUUUUUCGGUUGCCCCUCAUCCCUCCCGGGUCUAUUGAGCACAGAUUCGUGUAAAAAUCCUUUGGAUGCUGUAAUUGAAGGGCGAAAUUGAAGCGUAACGGGUGAUGACUUUCUGGGUUUAAGUUUUUAUGAAGCGGGAAAAGCUUUAUAUUCUGCAAAACACUUACUGUUCUCGUGAAUUAGAGAAAAUAGGCGAAGAACUUCACUUCACGUAUCAAGUCAUUUGUAUUCAAUUUGGAACAUUAAGCCAUUAAGGUUCUGUUCAUCUUAUAAAGAUAAACCACUAUUCAUCAAUCUACAAAUUUCGGACUAAAAGAACGAAGGUUGGAAGGAGAAGAAUACAUCUCCAUAGUGGACGAAUUGAUGGAAGCCCUUCAUACACGUUGUCCAAAAGCUCUUAUCUAGUUAGAAGAUUUACAAUCCAAGUGGGCUUUUGAGAUUCUUCAAAGAUACAUAAACAAGUACAGGAUUGCCAUGGACUGCAGAGAUGAUGCACGAAAGUCGAAACUGGAAACAUCGGCGCGUGCGCGAGAUGCUAAUUCUUUGGUUGAUUUUCCAUCAAAAAUAGGAGAAGUUGAGGACAUGUUGAGUCGGUUGUUUGCUAUCUGGUUUAGAUCUGUCUCAGUAGCUACAAACACAGAAAAACUAACCCUCGGCAACGACACGGUGGCAAUGGGUGGCGAUGCAGUUUGUUGUGGCGGCGAUGUUCAUCAGAAUCUAACGAGACGGGUAGGGACUUUACUCGUAUUGUCGACCUUUUAGAGUGUUGAGGAAUCAAAGACAUUGAUUAAAAGGCACGGAUUGUCAAAGCUGCAAACAGCGAACCUUAAUUUACAAUCAACACAAAGCUAAUCCAAUCCAAUUGUUAUCCAUUCAAGUGAGCCGCUGGUUGUUAUCCAUCCAACACUGAGGUGAAAUUAUCUAUCUGUGUUUGAUGAAAUGUUAGAUAUGUUCAAAUGGAGCAACUGUCUAAAUUCUCUUUGUUUUAUUUUUUUAUGUUUUCCAAAUGCCUCUUUUCUACUAAUAACUUGUACACUUGUACACAAUUGGAGCAUAUGUAGAAUGCAUCAGCAGUAGAGUAUGUCUUUCGAUAGUGUCUCGCCUGGCUAUUAAGAAUGCCUCACUACCGCUCAAUGGCAAAUUGACUGGAAUGGCUUUUGGUGUACCAACCGUGGACGGUAUGCGUGUGGGUGAAGAUCCAGGUCCCAGAUGCAUUUACUUUGGUCGACAUGAUGGUUAAGUAUAGUCGUUUGAGUCUGGAUAUGGCAGGGAACGAAGGUGGGUCAUACACGCAAUCUUUAAUCCGAUGGAGGAUUUAGAACAGCUGCAAUGAGAGGGUGUUCAACCGGAAUUAUAAAAUGACCUCUGCAGUGAUGGAUGAGAUAAAAGAGUCCUGGUGGGCGACUAAAAUGCUUAAAAUCAGAAGUAUCAGGUCGACUAACUGGGCAGCUUCAGUGGGCUCGAUUUUGGCUAGGCUUUGUUGUCAGUUAGUAUUGGGGCCUUUCUGUUGUAUUGUUUUUUCUUUUUGCUUUGUCUCUUCAACUGUCAUGAGUUCAAACUCGAUAAGUGACAAAUUGUUGUCUUCCUUAAUAGAAAAAUCAGCUGGUUCUGUUACUUCAACACGACCCCAUUUGUCAACCGCAAGUCC
rnacentral:lncRNA from 1 species